rnacentral:rRNA from 1 species
AUUGAACGCUGGCGGCAUGCCUUACACAUGCAAGUCGAACGGUAACAGGUCUUCGGUUGCUGACGAGUGGCUCACGGUUGCGUAAUACAUCUGAACGUGCCCAGACGUUGGGUUUAACGUGGCGUAAGCUUUGCUAAUACCUCAUACGAUCUAAUUAUGACACCAGGGGACCUCAAUGCCUUUCUCGUUUUUUGCUGCCUAUGGCAGAUUAGUUAGUUGUUGUGUUAAAAGCUUACCACGCCGACGAUCUGUAGCGGGUCUGAGAGGACGACCAGCCACACUGGGACUGAGACACGGACCAGACGCCUACGGGAGGGAGCAGUGGGGAAUUUUGGACAAUGGGCGAAAGCCUGAUCAAGCAAUGCCGCGUGCAGGAUGAAGGCCUUCGGGUUGUAAACUGCUUUUGUACGGAAAGAAAAGGAUCUGGCUAAUACCUGGGGAAAAUGACGGUAACGGAAGAAUAAGCACCGGCUAACUACGUG